AUAAUUUGUCUUUUAAUUGAAGUCUKGAAUGAAAGGGUUGACGCGAAACAGCCUGUCUCAAAAACAAUAAAAAAUUAAAUUUAGGUCAAAAUUCCUAAAAACUGUAAAAAGACGAUAAGACCCUAUAAAAUUUUACUUAAUAAACAACAGGUAGGUAUUCAAGAUUUUUAAGUUUGACUGGGAUGGUAAAAAUAAAUAAUCUGUUUUAGACGGCACACCAUAUGUGUAAAUAAAGACCCCCUAARCCUAAAAACUA
rnacentral:rRNA from 1 species